CGCCGCGUGGGUGCGGAGGUGAGGACAGCCAGCCAGCCGUGCGCAGUGGGCUCCGCAGAGACUCAGGUAUGGUCAGUACCGCUGACUGAAUAGGAACCCAUUCCUUGUUCGUGGAGAAAACCGGUGAAGGGCGGUGGGGUGCUUCUCUCAAAUGAACAAAAUCGCAACACCGACUGUCAAAUACGUGCAAGACAGGAGCCGCUGCCCUGUCCAGUCAACAUGCUCACGCGGAGCGAAUUUUAAGGAAUUUGUGUGGGAGCCUGGCCUGCUGCAGCUUUAAUGCAGCCUGCUUCAUUUCUCCCGAGCUGUUAAAUCCACCCUAGUGGCUUACCUUUGAAAGCAAACUGGAAAUGGUUGUUGGGUGAAUGAAUCAACUCUGGGACAGCUAGAGCUUGGCAGUACGAUCUACAGCAGAGCAACCGAGUUCUCAACCCAGGCGUCCCACGACCGGUGGCUGGAGAGACAGAGCAGGCUGCCAUACAUUAGGGUAUUACUCCGCCACGGAAAGGAGGGGCAUGCUGACAUGCCACAGCAUGCUGUCCCUGGAAAACUUGCCAGGUGGAAAAGACAGAUGCAGAUACAGGCCACACAGUGACAUGUUCACGCUGAGUGAGUCCACAGAGCCCAGCGCAGCCCAGGUUGCCAAAGCUGGGGUAGGAAGUAAAAUGCGCUCAACCACCUGAUGUCUUCAGCGUACAUGAGAAAGCUGAUGGCGCCCAGCACUAUAAAUUACUGUUACUGGACUCUGUAAGACACUUGAUUUUAUGUCAGGUGGAUUUCCUCUUAAUAACUUGUUUGGUAUUCAUAUUUAAAUUUU